UUCCGGUUGAUCCCGCCGGACCCCACUGCUAUCGAGGUGGGACUAAGCCAUGCUAGUCGAACGAACUUAGGUUAGUGGCAUACUGCUCAGUAACACGUAGCUAACCUACCCUUAAGACGGGGACAACCCCGAGAAAUUGGGGCUAAUCCCAGAUAGGUGUGAUGUCCUGGAAUGGUAUCACGCUCAAAUGUGUUCGCACGCUUAAGGAUGGGGCUGCGGCCGAUCAGGCAGUUGGCGAGGUAACGGCUCACCAAACCUUUGACCGGUACGGGCCAUGAGAGUGGUAGCCCGGAGAUGGACACUGAGACAAGGGUCCAGGCCCUACGGGGCGCAGCAGGCGCGAAACCUCCUCAAUGCACAAACGUGUGAAGGGGUUACCUCGAGUGCCACCUGAAGAAGGUGGCUUUUCUGUGGUCUAAAAAGCCUAGGGAAUAAGAGGGGGGCAAGACUGGUGUCAGCCGCCGCGGUAACACCAGCCCCUCGAGUGGUGGGGAUGAUUAUUUGGCCUAAAGCGUCCGUAGCCGGCCGUGAAAGUCUUCCGUUAAAUCCAGCGUCUCAAGCGUUGGACCGCGGGAGAUACUACAUGGCUAGAGAGUGGGAGAGGUCAGCGGUAUUCUGGGGGUAGGGGCGAAAUCCUUUGAUCCCCGGAGGACCACCAGUGGCGAAGGCUGCUGACUAGAACACGUCUGACGGUCAGGGACGAAAGCUGGGGGUAGCGAACCGGAUUAGAUACCCGGGUAGUCCCAGCCGUAAACGAUGCAUGCUAGGUGUUGGGUUGGCCACGAGCCACCCCAGUGCCGCAGGGAAGCCGUUAAGCAUGCCGCCUGGGAAGUACG
rnacentral:rRNA from 1 species